CCUACGGGAGGCAGCAGUAGGGAAUUUUCCACAAUGGGGGCAACCCUGAUGGAGCAACGCCGCGUGCAGGAUGUAGGCUCUUGGGUCGUAAACUGCUUUUAUCUGUGACGAAUAUGUCGGUAGCAGAUGAAUAAGGAUCGGCUAACUCCGUGCCAGCAGCCGCGGUAAU
rnacentral:rRNA from 1 species